rnacentral:tmRNA from 1 species
GGGGGCGAUCGGCUUCGACGUGGGUCGCGAACCCUCAGGUGCAUGCCGAGGCGCAGACAACCUCGUAAAACCAGCUGCAAACAACUUAGUUGCCAACGACGACAACUACGCUCUAGCUGCUUAAAAACCAGCCUAGUGCCUUCCGCCCGGCUCGUGCU